GGCUCUGUUUUUCUAAGACUUUGCCGCUAUAUUGGGAGUGCCGGUUCGCCGGCUAUGGAAAUAAAUGACCGUCGCAAUAAACCAUUCGGACCCGGGGGCGGUACCCGGCGCCUCCACCAAAACCCAUCCGUCGCGGUGGCUUUCGGCGGGGGCGAAAUAGGAUCGACGAGGGCGUAAAGGGCGUGUUUUUUCUCGGUAUGGUUCCGCCGACAUCGGGCCAAUGCAAUAGUUGCCAACGACAACUUUGCUCCGGUUGCUCAGGCUGCGUAACGCAGUUUGAAAGACCAUCUUAAAGUCCUAGCGGGUUAAGCUCCGCUAGGCGGGGUUCGGAGGCACCUGGCAACAGAAGCCUCCACU
rnacentral:tmRNA from 1 species